GACGAACCACACAAACGUUAUUCGGAAUUACUGGGCUUAAAGGGUGCGUAGGCGGCGCGGAAAGUUGGGUGUGAAAUCCCUCGGCUCAACCGAGGAACUGCGCCCAAAACUACCGUGCUCGAGGGAGAUAGAGGUGAGCGGAACUUAGGGUGGAGCGGUGAAAUGCGUUGAUAUCCUAAGGAACACCCGUGGCGAAAGCGGCUCACUGGGUCUCUUCUGACGCUGAGGCACGAAAGCUAGGGUAGCGAACGGGG
rnacentral:rRNA from 1 species